AUGCAAGUUCGAGCGGUAGCACGGGAGAGCUUGCUCUCUGGGUGACGAGCGGCGGACGGGUUGAGUAAUGUCUGGGAAACUGCCUGAUGGAGGGGGAUAACUACUGGAAACGGUAGCUAAUACCGCAUGAUGUCGCAAGACCAAAGUGGGGGACCUUCGGGCCUCACGCCAUCGGAUGUGCCCAGAUGGGAUUAGCUAGUAGGUGGGGUAAUGGCUCACCWAGGCGACGAUCCCUAGCUGGUCUGAGAGGAUGACMAGCCACACUGGAACUGAGACACGGUCMAGACUCCUACGGGAGGCAGCAGUGGGGAAUAUUGCACAAUGGGCGCAAGCCUGAUGCAGCCAUGCCGCGUGUGUGAAGAAGGCCUUAGGGUUGUAAAGCACUUUCAGCGAGGAGGAAGGCGUUGCAGUUAAUARCUGCAACGAUUGACGUUACUCGCAGAAGAAGCACCGGCUAACUCCGUGCAAGCAGCCGCGGUAAUACGGAGGGUGCAAGCGUUAAUCGGAAUUACWGGGCGUAAAGCGCACGCAAGCGGUUUGKUAAGUCAGAUGUSAAAUCCNCGAGCGU
rnacentral:rRNA from 1 species